CAGUAGCCGCGGGAAUACGAAGGGGGCUAGCGUUGUUCGGAAUUACUGGGCGUAAAGCGCACGUAGGCGGAUACUUAAGUCAGGGGUGAAAUCCCGGGGCUCAACCCCGGAACUGCCUUUGAUACUGGGUAUCUCGAGUCCGGAAGAGGUGAGUGGAAUUCCGAGUGUAGAGGUGAAAUUCGUAGAUAUUCGGAGGAACACCAGUGGCGAAGGCGGCUCACUGGUCCGGUACUGACGCUGAGGUGCGAAAGCGUGGGGAGCAAACAGGAUUAGAUACCCCUGUAGUCCCUGUCUCUUAUAA
rnacentral:rRNA from 1 species